GUGUCAGCAGCCGCGGUAAAACGUAGGAGGCAAGCGUUAUCCGGAGUUACUGGGCGUAAAGCGCGUGUAGGUGGAUCGGUAAGUUACUUAUAAAAGCUCCUGGCUAAACUAGGAGAGGUUGAGUGAUACUGCCAGUCUUGAAUAGAGGAGAGGUUGACGGAAUUCCGCGUGUAGUGGUGAAAUGCGUAGAGAUGCGGAAGAACACCAGUGGCGAAGGCGGUCAACUGGCCUCAUAUUGACACUCAGACGCGAAGGCAUGGGUAGCGAACGGGAUUAGAAACCCCUGUAGUCC
rnacentral:rRNA from 1 species